UCAGGAUGAACGCUGGCGGUAUGCGUAACACAUGCAAGUCGAACGAAGUUUUUCGGAACUUAGUGGCGGACGGGUGAGUAACGCGUGAGAAUCUGCCUUAAGGAUUGGGACAACAGUGGGAAACCGCUGCUAAUACCAAAUAUGCCUUUUAGUGAAACGGGUAAAACCGCCUUAAGAUGAGCUCGCGUCUGAUUAGCUAGUAGGUGUGGUAAGAGCGCACCUAGGCGACGAUCAGUAGCUGGUCUGAGAGGACGACCAGCCACACUGGGACUGAGACACGGCCCAGACUCCUACGGGAGGCAGCAGUGAGGAAUUUUCCGCAAUGGGCGAAAGCCUGACGGAGCAAUACCGCGUGAGGGAGGAAGGUUCUUGGAUUGUAAACCUCUUUUCUCAGAGAAGAAUAAUGACGGUAUCUGAGGAAUAAGCAUCGGCUAACUCCGUGCCAGCAGCCGCGGUAAUACGGAGGAUGCAAGCGUUAUCCGGAAUGAUUGGGCGUAAAGGGUCUGUAGGUGGUUGUUCAAGUCUGCUGUUAAAGCGUCUGGCUUAACCAGAUAAAGGCGGUGGAAACUGAACGACUAGAGUGCGAUAGGGGUAGAGGGAAUU
rnacentral:rRNA from 1 species